AGCGAACGCUGGCGGCAGGCCUAACACAUGCAAGUCGAACGGACCCUUCGGGGUUAGUGGCGGACGGGUGAGUAACACGUGGGAACGUGCCUUUAGGUUCGGAAUAGCUCCUGGAAACGGGUGGUAAUGCCGAAUGUGCCCUUCGGGGGAAAGAUUUAUCGCCUUUAGAGCGGCCCGCGUCUGAUUAGCUAGUUGGUGAGGUAAAGGCUCACCAAGGCGACGAUCAGUAGCUGGUCUGAGAGGAUGACCAGCCACAUUGGGACUGAGACACGGCCCAAACUCCUACGGGAGGCAGCAGUGGGGAAUCUUGCGCAAUGGGCGAAAGCCUGACGCAGCCAUGCCGCGUGGAUGAUGAAGGUCUUAGGAUUGUAAAAUCCUUUCACCUGUGAAGAUAAUGACUGUAGCCGGAGAAGAAGCCCCGGCUAACUUCGUGCCAGCCGCCGCCGUAAUAC
rnacentral:rRNA from 1 species